AUUGAACGCUGGCGGCAGGCCUAACACAUGCAAGUCGAGCGAGGGGGGGAGGGGUGAGUAAUGUCUGGGACAGUGCCUGAUGGGGGGGGAAAACUACGGGAAACGGUAGAUAAUACCGCAUACCAUCAGAUGUGCCCAUAUGGGAUUAGCUAGUAGGUGGGGUAAUGGCUCCUCUAGGCGACGAGCCCUAGCUGGUCUGAGAGGAUGAACAGCCACACUGGAACUGAGACACGGUCCAGACUCCUACGGGAGGCAGCAGUGGGGAAUAUUGCACAAUGGGCGCAAGCCUGAUGCAGCCAUGCCGCGUGUAUGAAGAAGGCCUUCGGGUUGUAAAGUACUUUCAGCGGGGAGGCGUUACCCGCAGAAGAAGCACCGGCUAACUCCGUGCCAGCAGCCGCGGUAAUUC
rnacentral:rRNA from 1 species